CGUACGUCUUCAGUCAUCAACCCAGGGUCCUAGAGUGUUUAAAUCAUCAGACACCCUCAUCUAGGCAAACUAGCCGGGGAUAAUCAGUCCCUGACUUAAAUGCAAGUGAUGCACUAAUCCAUGGAUUCCUGGGGUUUACAGUAAUGGCCUCCAGUGUUACUGGGCCACGCUUUCCCUUGCAACUUGAACCUAGAAGAAAAACACCAAGGAGGGGGUCACCCUGGUGAUAAGGUUAUCAAGGGGCUGCAGUGAGGUCAUCCAAACAGGGAGGAAGUCCCAGUUCUGCAGUCUAAGUGGC